ACUCCUACGGGAGGCAGCAGUGGGGAAUCUUAGACAAUGGGCGCAAGCCUGAUCUAGCCAUGCCGCGUGAGUGAUGAAGGUCUUAGGAUCGUAAAGCUCUUUCGCUGGGGAAGAUAAUGACGGUACCCAGUAAAGAAACCCCGGCUAACUCCGUGCCAGCAGCCGCGGUAAUACGGAGGGGGUUAGCGUUGUUCGGAAUUACUGGGCGUAAAGCGCACGUAGGCGGAUCGGAAAGUUGGGGUGAAAUCCCGGGGCUCAACCUCGGAACUGCCUUCAAAACUAUCGGUCUAGAGUUCGAGAGAGGUGAGUGGAAUUGCGAGUGUAGAGGUGAAAUUCGUAGAUAUUCGCAGGAACACCAGUGGCGAAGGCGGCUCACUGGCUCGAUACUGACGCUGAGGUGCGAAAGUGUGGGGAGCAAACAGGAUUAGAUACCCUGGUAGCUACGAG
rnacentral:rRNA from 1 species